UACGUAGGGUGCAAGCGUUAUCCGGAAUUAUUGGGCGUAAAGAGCUCGUAGGCGGUUUGUCGCGUCUGCUGUGAAAACUGGAGGCUCAACCUCCAGCCUGCAGUGGGUACGGGCAAACUAGAGUGCGGUAGGGGAGAUUGGAAUUCCUGGUGUAGCGGUGGAAUGCGCAGAUAUCAGGAGGAACACCGAUGGCGAAGGCAGAUCUCUGGGCCGUAACUGACGCUGAGACGCGAAAGCGUGGGGAGCAAACAGG
rnacentral:rRNA from 1 species